rnacentral:rRNA from 1 species
CGUAGGGUGCAAGCGUUAAUCGGAAUUACUGGGCGUAAAGCGUGCGCAGGCGGUUAUGUAAGACAGGUGUGAAAUCCCAGGGCUUAACCUUGGAACUGCAUUUGUGACUGCAUAGCUAGAGUACGGUAGAGGGGGAUGGAAUUCCGCGUGUAGCAGUGAAAUGCGUAGAUAUGCGGAGGAACACCGAUGGCGAAGGCAAUCCCCUGGACCUGUACUGACGCUCAUGCACGAAAGCGUGGGGAGCAAACAGGAUUAGAUACCCUGGUAGUCCACGCCCUAAACGAUGUCAACUGGUUGUUGGGUCUUCACUGACUCAGUAACGAAGCUAACGCGUGAAGUUGACCGCCUGGGGAGUACGGCCGCAAGGUUG